UCACUAAUAUACUCGUUUCACUUGUUUUUUCGGGUCUUCGUUGUAAAGAGGGCUCAACGGCAGCGUCUUUCUAUUCUGCCAUCUUGGCUCUGCCUCUUGACAAUUUUUUUUAAAUUGAUUAAUAUGAUCAUCUGAUUCUUUUUGGCCAAGAGAAUGGCGCCAUUGCCCAAAGUUGAGGAGGUGAGGCCAUCUCUUAUAUAUACCAACUUAUAUAUUUUUUCCUUUUUAGUAAAAUCUCUGUGAAAAAUAUGUAUUGCUUGCAUAUCACUUGGAGGAAUGUAUGAUGAUCAAAAUCAAGUUGUUCCAACUCAAAAGUAGGAGAAUGGAGUGGGGCAAUAAACCUCACAGUGUCAAUUCUAAUUGUUUAUAUGCAUUUUCGAAAACCUGGGCCAGGAGAAUGGAGCGACUUGGGGCCAAGGGGUUGGAGUCACCACUCAUGUGGACCAGGAGAAUGAGCUACCCAAAGCCAAAGGAGUAGGAUUGCCCUCCCACUGGGUCUGGAAGGUGGGGCCUCCACCCAGUGCCCGGAGUCUUCUGUCUAGGUUCUGGAGAGUGUGGCCAAUGCCCAGAGUUGGAGGUGGAGCCGUUGCUCAGAUGUACCUGGAAGACAGGAUUAUUUUUCAGUUAAGCCUUGAGAUCUAAUGAAAUUUGCUGUGCUCGGUUUUGGACUUGCUUGAUACCCAUGACCCCUCUUUUCCCUCUAAUUUCUUCCAUUUGGAAUGGAAAUGUCUACUCUGUCUGUUCCACUCGUAUUCUAGAUUUCACAGGUCCACUGAAGGAAAAGAAUUUUUGCCCCAGGGGAUGUAACACAACCAGAGUCUCACCCAUCCUUAAUUUAGAUGAUCUAGAAGAUGAGGUUUUGGAUUUGGUGCUGGAAUGGGUUAAGAUUUUAGAGGAUGAUAUGAAUGGUAAAUGUGUUUUGCACAUAAGAAUGACAUUAACUUGGGGGUCCAAAGGGUGGAAUGAUACGUGUUAAAUUGUGUCCCCCCAUCUAGCUUAAAAAGCGUAACAGAGUUUAUAAAGAAAAUAUUCUAUAUUCUACCUUGGUGAGUAGCCUCUGGGGUCUUCAAAGCCUGUGAGUGGCCAUCUAAGAUAUUCUACUGGUCUCACCCCUUCAGGAGAAUGAAGAAAACUAAAGACACAAGGGAAAGAUUAGUCCAAAGGACUAAUGGACCACAACUACCACGAUCUUCACCAGACUGAGUGCAGCACAAAUGGGUGCUGCCUGGCUACCACCACCAAGUGCCUGACAGGAUCACAAUAGAGGGUCCUGGACAGAGAUGGAGAAAAAUGUAGAACCAAAUUCUAAUUCACAAAGAAAGACCAGACUUACUGGCCUGUCAGAAACUGGAGAAAUCCCAAGACUAUGGCCUCCGGACACCUUUUUGGCUCAGUAAUGAAGCCACUCCUGAGGUUCGCCCUUCAGUCAAAGACUACAGGCCCAAAAAACAAGAGUAAAAGGGCACAUCAGCCCAGGGGCAAGGACUAGAAGCAGAAGAGGACAGGAAAACUGGUAAUAGGCAACCCAAGAUUGAGAAGGGAGAGCUUUGACAUGUUGUGGGUUGUUAAUCAAUGUCAUAAAACAAUACAUGUACUAACCACUUAAUGAGAAGGUAGUUUGUUCUGUAAAUUUUUAUCUAAAGAAAAAAAAAAUUUUUUUUAAAUCAUGUCCCCCCAAAAUAUGUGUUCAAAGCCUAACCCCUACACCUGUGAAUGUAGUAUAAUGUAAUGACUUUACUUCUAACCUUCCAUAAUAUAAUCUAACAUGAUAUAAUCAUUUUCCAUAAUGCAAUCUAAUACAAUGUAAUUAACUGAACUGUCGAGGUCAUACCAGUGUAGGGUAGAUCCUAAAUCUUAUCACUUCUGAAUUAUAUAAAGAGGAGCAUAGAUACACACACACACACACACAGAGGAAGACAGGCGCCAUGUGAGGAUCAUCUAAAAAUUAAGGAAUGAAAGAACAUCCACGACUACCUAUAGGAAGGAAUUGGCAUGACUGAGACACUGAUUUGGACUUUGAACCUCCAGAACUGUGAGAAAAUAAAUUUCUGUUUUUAAAAGUCACCUACUUGGGGUAUUUCUGUUACAGCAACACCAGGAAACCAAGGCACAGGAUAUUCAGAUUAUCUAUUUCAUAUUGGGGGAACGGUUGUAGUUUGUGUUUUUCAAGGAAUUAGUCCUUUUUAACUAAGUUGUUGAAUUUUAGUGUGUAGAGCUGUUCGAAGUAUUCCCUUAUUAUCCUUUUUGAUGUCUGCAUAUUGAUACCUACAUUUUUGAUACCUGAUAUUGGUAAUAUGAGUCGUUUUUCUUUGUCUGUCUUGCUAGAAGUUUGCCAAUUUUAAACAAAGUCCUUUUAAAGAAACAGCUCUUUUGUUUUAUUGAUUACUUCUGUUAUUUUUCUGUUUUGAUUUUACUGAUUUUUGCUUUUGUUUUUACUAUUUCCCUUUUAAUUCUUUCUUUGGGUUUAUUUUUCUCUUCUUUUCCUAGGUUCUUUGGUGGAAGCUUACAUUACUGGGUUGAGACUUUUCCUCUUUUCUAAUGUAUGUAUUUAGUGCUACACAUUUUCCUCUCAGUGCUAUUCUAGAUGUGGCCUGCAAAUUUUGAUGUGUUGUAUUUUCAGUUCCAUUCAGUUCAAUGUAUGUUUUCAUUUCCUUGGAGAUUUAUUUUGUCCUUGGAGUAUUUAGAAAUGUGUUGUUUAGAUUUCAAGUGUUGGAGGAUUUUCCUGCUAUGUUUUCUUAGUGUUUCUAUUUUGAUUUCACUGUGGUCAGAAAACACUCUCUUUAUGAUUUCAAGUCUUCUAAAUUAAAUUUGUUAAGGUUGGUUUUAUAACCCAGAAUAUGGUCUCUUUUGUUAUAUGUUCUGUGAGCACUUGAAAAGAACUUGUGUUCUGCUGUUAUUGAGUGGAGUAUUCUAUAAAUGUCAGUUGGAUUCUGUCAGUUGAUAGAUUUUUUUUUUUCCCACUGAAUUCCUAUAGGUUAUCAACAUUUUCUAGAAUUCCACUUCAGUUUAUUUCUAGUGUUUGGAAUGUAUCUGUUUGUGUAGCUUUUUUAGCUGUUGUUCUAGGAUUUAUGUUAUAUACACAUAACUUAGCACAGUCUACUGGAGUUAUUCCACCAGUUUAAAUGAUGCGUAGAAACAUUAUUUCCCUUUGAACCCACUUGUCCUUCCUGAAUUAUAAUUUUCUGUAAUAUUUUCUCUACGGACAUUUAGAACCUCAUCAGUGUUACAAUUCUUGCUUAAUCUGUCAAAUAUAAUUUAGAAAACUCAAGAAGAAAAUGAAAGCUGACAGUAUUUACUAUAUCUUUUUUUGCUUACUGCAUUCUUCCUUUCUGAUGUUCCCAGGCUCCUUCUUGCUAUGUAUGCUUUCUGUAUGCUCUCAAAUCACAUCUGACUCUUUAAUGUUCUUAAAACACAAGCGUGUAAGUUAUUAUUAUUUGUACUUCUGUAAUGUUUUUUAUACUGUUAGGAUGUUUUUAUAAUGCUUUUAAACACCUUUCUAUAAAUCACUUAUAAUGUAAAGUUCUAAAUAGAGAACUUAGAAUUAGAAACAUAUAUAUUUCUGUAAUGCUCUUUAACCAGUAAAUAUGUCAUUAGAAAGUUGCUCUAACCUUCAAAAUAAGAUAAUGAAAGUACGUGAAGUAGGUGGUAAAUAAGUUUCUGAAAUUAGGCUGUAUACAUUCACUCUGGGAUAUCAGAAUGUAACAUUAACCAAAUCUCUAUAAGUUAGCAAAACAUGAAUGUGUCACUGUCCUAGUCAUGUAGUGUUACUAUAACAGAAAUACCACAAGUGGAUGGCUUUAAUAAAGAGAAGUUUAUUCCUUCACAGUCCAGUAGGCUAGAAGUCUGAAUCAGGGUUCCUGCUCCAGGGGUAGACUUUCUCUCUGUCAGCUCUGGAAGAAGGUCCUUGUCAUCAGUUUUCCCUUGGUCUGGGAGCAUCUCAGCACAGGAAUCUCAAGUCUACAGGAAGCACUCUGCUCCUGGCGCUGCUUUCUUGGUGGUAUAAGCUCCCCAUGUCUUUCUACUUGCUUCUCUCUUUUUACAUCUCUAAAGAGAUAGGCUUAAGACACUAUCUGGUCUUGUAGAUCUCAUCAAUAUAACUGCCACUAGUGCAUCUCAUUACAUCAUAGUGAUAGGAUUACAACACAUAGGGAAAUCAUAUCAGAUGGGAAAAAGGUAGACAAUUACACAAUACUGGGAAUCAUAACUUAACCAAGCUGACACUUAUUAUGGGGGGACACAGCUCAAUCCAUGACAGUCACUAAAUAAUUCUGAUAAUAUUUAAUUAGCCAAUUUAGCCUCAAAACAUGUAGUAAACAAGAACAUAAAUAUGUCAUACAACAAUUCCCUAUUGGGCAAUAAAACAAUAUAAAUGAAUAAAACAUAAAUAUGUCCUACAAUGCUCUUCACUGACAAUAAAACAUACCAAUUAGAGUUGAAUAUGACAGCACACAAGGUACAUAAAUCUGUGGAGAUUUGGAGAAGACAGAAGCAAAAGUUCUCUCUGACUCUCCAACUGAAGACUGAGAAGCCUGCUGAGAUGCUGCUGGUCACAACUGACCUCAGACCCUAACCUCCUCUGAGUUGGAGGGCUGGUCAAGCCUCCUCCCUGAGACCACUUGUUAAAGGUAAAAGCCUGAAGUCUAAAGAUUUGGUCUCUAACAUGUAAACUAACAUUGUAAUUGUUAAUUCUGAUUCCCCAAUGCUAAAUGCAUGUCUUGAGGUCUUACCUGUAUGCCUUGAUGUGACUGCCUUGCAAUAAAUAAGUGAGCUUAUGCAUGACAAAACUGAACAACACUUUACUCUUAAGAUAAAAAUCUCCAGGACACUUCUUUUAUAAUUUCUUUUCUGUUUAGAGAACUUUCUUUAGACAUUAUUUUAGGUUAGAUUUGCUGGCUAUAAAUUCUAGUUUUCACUCAUCUGAGAAUUAUUGAUUUCACCUACCUUCUGUAGGAAAUUUUGCUAUGUAGAGUUGAGCCCAUUCACUGUACUUUUGAGUUUAAAUAAAAAUUAAAAAAUAAAAAUAAAUACAGCUUCGUUAUUCUAAUGUAUUUUCAUCUCAGUGCUGUUCUAGGUAUGUCCCGCAAAUUUUGAUGUUGUAUUUUCAUUUCCAUUCAGUUCCUCUUUAUAUCUUCAGAUUCUUUACUUACACUUUCUAUUUUCCUUUUUUAAUUUGCUUCAAACAUGUUUAUAAUUGCUCAUUGAAGCAUAUUUUGAUGGCUGCUUUAAAAUCAUUGUCAGAUAAUUCUAACAUCUUUGUCAUCUUGCUUUUGGAGUCUGUUGAUUGUCUUCUCAUCAUUCAAGUUGCGAUUUUCUGGUUCUUGGUGUGAUGUAUGUUAUGAGACUGUGCAUCUUGCUUAACUUUUUGUUUUAGGUGUUUUUUCCUGAAAGGAGAAGACGUGGUGCUGCCAACUUACUGCCAGGUGGGUAGAAACCCAGGUUCUCCAUUCAGCCUUAGUUGACACUGGAGGGGUGAACUUCUUACUACUGUUGCCGGAGAAAGGGUAUUGAAGUUCUGUCUCCCCACAUGGCCUUCCCUGACACUGUGGUAGGGGUGGCCUUGCUACUACUGAAUGAUGAUGACUGUAACUAGGCAUCCUCUGACAUCACCCUGGGUACAGGGCAAUGGGCACCUCAUUACUCCUGGUAGUGGUGGAAGCCCAGGCUCCCCACAAGGUUUCCACUGAUCCUCCGUUGUAGGGAAGUUCAUUACCAGCUGAUGAAGUGGGAGAGCUCAUGACCAGCUGCUGCUGAUGAUGAUGAAAAAUUACAGUUUUUCUGGAUUUUAUGAUUUUUGAGUUAUUUGUUUUUAAAAAUGUGUAAUUUGUUUUGAUUUUAUUUCUCAUUCCAAAACAUUAUUGUCUUUUUUGCACAUUUUUUAAUUCAUAAUCAUGUGUGUUUUUUUUUUUAAAAGAUCUCAUUUUAUAAGUUUCAAGGCCUAGAAAACCUAAUUUCUCCUAAGUACAUGAUCCUGAUUCUUUGAAAUUCAACCCUAGAAAGGCAAGAAGGAGGUGGGAGACGGUUUGCAAAAUUUCUGAAUUUCUCCUUAGCUCUCUAUUUGGCCCCUGGAGGGCAAUGUUGCAUACAUUGGAAAUGGCUUUUCUAUAAAGGGUCAGGAUAGCCUCAUAAAAGCCUUCUUUCCCCACAGCUUAAGGAGGUGCCCCGACUGAGCAUUUGAUAUUUGUUUGCGAGGAAUCUCACAGAAGGGGGCUGCUUUCUCACUGCUUGGCCAUGACCUUGGUGCUCAUCUUGAUGCUUGGGGUUCUCCUGUCCCCAAGAGGAACUGGAGCCCAGGCGGUGACCCAGGCUGACAUCCAUGUCCCUGUCUCUGAAGGAGCCCCUCUGAUGCUGAGGUGCAACUACUCAUCUUCUGUUCCACCGACUCUCUUUUGGUACGUCCGAUCCCCUAACGAAGACCUCCAAGUUCUCCUGAAGUACACGUCAGGAAACAUGCUUGUGUCAGGCAUCAAAGAUUUCGAGGCUGAAUUUAGGAAGAUGGAAAACUCCUUUCACCUGAGGAAGCCAUCAGAUCAUUGGAGAGACUCGGCUUAGUACUUCUGUACUCUGAGUGACAGAGUGGCUGGGGCUGCAGGGUGAACUGAACACAAACUACCUGAGGCAUUGUAGCUUAAAAGACUCAGGGUCUCAGCAUGUUCUGUGAAGGCAAAUAGUUCAGAGGAAGCAGAAUCUGGGGAAGUGUUUAGUUUCUUUGAAUAUCUUGGAUUUAUUUGCUGUUUUGCAAAAGGAGGACUCAGAAGUUAUCUGAGGUACAGCGUUAGUAUCCUAGAGGUCAAGAUUCUAGAAGGCAGGUGACUAUAGGAUUUUCACUUGCUUCUGUGUUAUUUGAGACAAUGAUGAAGUGAGAUGCACUGAGGCUAUUAUGUCAGUUGAGAUAAAGCAAACCAGUUCUGACACAUGGCUGCCCCGUGUGUGCCAGAGCAGAACUGUGCUCCAUAGAGUUAUCAAUGCCUGACUUUUUGGAAGUAGUUCUGCAGGCCUUUCUUCUGAGGUGUCUCUGGGUGGACUAAAACCUCCAACCUUUCAGUUAGUAGCUCAGCACAUUAACUGUUGUCACUACCCAGGGUUUCAGGAAUCCUCAUUUUCCAUCUCUUUUAUCUCGAAAUCCAUCUACAGAGAAUUAUUAUUAUUCACUGGGCUUGGGGCAAGAGUACAAACUAAAAUUAUUUUCAUAUAGAUUUUCAAGGAGUUAUUUUUUAAAUUCAUUUAAAAUAUCUAUUAAGACUAAAAAAGCAAGAUAGGAAUAAUUAAUAAUGAACUAUUUCAAUAAAGCUUAUUUAAAUAAGGCUCAAUUUUUAUUUAAAUAUCUUAAAACUUAAUUGAACUGUAGGUAUUUUUUGCAAAAAGAGAACUAUUCAGUUUUAGUUUCCAUGACACUGUAAUUGCUAAAGAAUCAAUGUCACUGUGUAUUGCAGGUUCAGCAGAGAAUAAAUAUAUACAAUUUGAAGAGUAAUGUUGCUUGAUAUACAAAGUGUUUCAGCUAUCGUGAGCAACUGCUGUGCACACUGUGCUGAGUUGUGGGUGCCCUUCUGAACCACAGAUGAGUACAUAAAAGAGGCAAGAAAAUGGAUCGUCAGCACUCCUGGAACCUGGACCCUAUUAUGCAGGAAUCUGUUGCAUUCGAGCCAUCUGAGGAAAAGAUUGACCUAGUUCAUGAAUUUGUCUUUUCCGUAAGU